rnacentral:rRNA from 1 species
CACGUAGGAGGCGAGCGUUGUCCGGAAUCAUUGGGCGUAAAGAGCGCGCAGGCGGCUUGGCAAGUCGGGUGUGAAAUCCCGGGGCUCAACCCCGUGACUGCAUCCGAUACUGUCAGGCUAGAGGUAGGUAGGGGAGAUCGGAAUUCCUGGUGUAGCGGUGAAAUGCGUAGAUAUCGGAAGGAACAUCAGUGGCGAAAGCGACUUCCUGGACCAAUACUGACGCUCAUGUGCGAAAGCGUGGG